GCGGCUAGCUCAGUCGGUAGAGCAUGAGACUCUUAAUCUCAGGGUCGUGGGUUCAUGCCCCACGUUGGGCG
rnacentral:tRNA from 1 species